CCGGAAUCGUUGGUGACCGUACCGCAAACCGACUCAGGUGGGCUGGUGGAGAACACCAAGGCGUUCGAGAGAACCCAGGUUAAGGAACUCGGCAAAUUGACACCGUAACUUCGGGAUAAGGUGUGCCAGAGGUAGGUGAAGGGCUUGCGCCUGGAGCCGAUUCUGGUUGCAACAAAGCGGCGGUAGCGACUGUUUACUAAAAACACAGGGCUCUGCGAAACCGUAAGGUGACGUAUAGGGCCUGACGCCUGCCCGGUGCCGGAAGGUUAAGGGGAGUUGUCAGCGCAAGCGAAGCGACGAACUGAAGCCCCGGUAAACGGCGGCCGUAACUAUAACGGUCCUAAGGUAGCGAAAUUCCUUGUCGGGUAAGUUCCGACCUGCACGAAUGGCGUAACGACUUCCGCGCUGUCUCGACCUGGGACUCGGCGAAAUCGACAUGGGGGUGAAGAUGCCCUCUACCCGCGGCAAGACGGAAAGACCCUGUGAACCUUUACUGUAGCUUGGCAGUGGUAUUCGGUUCAUUCUGUGUAGGAUAGGUGGGAGCCUAUGAGUCGGGCACGCUAGUGUCCGAGGAGGCACCGUUGAAAUACCACCCUGGAUGUGCUGGAUACCUAACCCCUUCGGGGGGACACUGCCUGGUAGGCAGUUUGACUGGGGCGGUCGCCUCCUAAAGAGUAACGGAGGCGCGCAAAGGUUCCCUCAGCCAGAUCGGAAACCUGGCGAAGAGUGUAAUCGUAUAAGGGAGCUUGACUGCAAGACCGACAGGUCAAGCAGGUGCGAAAGCAGGCGAUAGUGAUCCGGUGGUUCCACGUGGACGGGCCAUCGCUCAUCGAAUAAAAGGUACUCCGGGGAUAACAGGCUUAUCGCGCCCAAGAGUUCAUAUCGACGGCGCGGUUUGGCACCUCGAUGUCGGCUCAUCGCAUCCUGGGGCUGGAGCAGGUCCCAAGGGUAUGGCUGUUCGCCAUUUAAAGCGGUACGCGAGCUGGGUUUAGAACGUCGUGAGACAGUUCGGUCCCUAUCUGCCGUGGGCGUAGGGAGGUUGAGAGGAGCUGUCCUUAGUACGAGAGGACCGGGAUGGACGUACCUCUGGUGUUCCAGUUGUCGUGCCAACGGCAUUGCUGGGUAGCCACGUACGGUCGGAAUAACCGCUGAAAGCAUCUAAGUGGGAAAUCCUCCUCGAGAUGAGCCUUCCCUGAAGGACCCAGAAAGACUAUCUGGUUGAUAGGCCGGAGGUGCAGGCCCAGCAAUGGGUACAGCUUACCGGUACUAAUCGUCCGAUCGGCUUUAA
rnacentral:rRNA from 1 species